UUCCUUCUGGUCAAUGAGGUUGUUACACCUCAUUGAUUGAAAGGAAUUCCUUCUGGUCAAUGAGGUUGUUACACCUCAUUGAUUGGAAGGAAUUCCUUCUGGUCAAUGUGGUUGUUGUUUCUCAUUGACUGGGAGGAA
rnacentral:miRNA from 1 species